rnacentral:rRNA from 1 species
UACGUAGGGGGCAAGCGUUGUCCGGAUUUAUUGGGCGUAAAGAGCGUGUAGGCGGCCAUACAGGUCCGUUGUGAAAACUGGAGGCUUAACCUCCAGACGUCGAUGGAAACCGUAUGGCUAGAGUCCGGAAGAGGAGAGUGGAAUUCCUGGUGUAGCGGUGAAAUGCGCAGAUAUCAGGAAGAACACCCGUGGCGAAGGCGGCUCUCUGGGGCGGUACUGACGCUGAGACGCGAAAGCGUAGGGAGCGAACAGG